rnacentral:rRNA from 1 species
UGGUGGAGUGAUUUGUCUGGUUAGUUCCGAUAACGAACGAGACUCUGUCCUGCUAACUAGGUUGUGUUUUCUCGGGUUGGUGUUUCUGGUGUUCCUUCUCGGGGCGCCGGCCCAAUCCACUUGUGAACACAACACUCUUCUUAGAGGGACUGGCGGCUGUUAGCCGCACGAGAUAGAGCAAUAACA